rnacentral:rRNA from 1 species
GACGAACCGUGCGAACGUUGUUCGGAAUCACUGGGCUUAAAGGGCGCGUAGGCGGGCCACCAAGUCCGGGGUGAAAUCCUCCCGCUUAACGGGAGAAUAGCCUUGGAUACUGGUGGUCUCGAGGGAGGUAGGGGCAGCUGGAACUUCCGGUGGAGCGGUGAAAUGCGUUGAUAUCGGAAGGAACGCCGGUGGCGAAAGCGAGCUGCUGGACCUCUUCUGACGCUGAGGCGCGAAAGCCAGGGGAGCAAACGGG